GUGUCGGUAUCCAAGCGGCAAAGGAGUCGGUCUGUAAAACCGAUGGCUUCGGCCUUCGUGGGUUCGAAUCCCUACCCGGCACA
rnacentral:tRNA from 1 species